UAGAGAUUUUAGGGUUCUUCUGAAGGAGACUCGCCCCUGCCUAGGGCGCGAUGGCAUCUGUUAGGAGGAGCGCAUUUCUCGAUCGCAGCACCUGGCGUCUCCCCAGAGAGGGCGAGGGUGUGUAUGCCGAGGCGGAAGAGCGAGUGCGCGAGGCUUGCGCGGAUGGAAAGAUGAGCAAUCGUCGCCUUAAAAGAUGGGUGAAUGAUCGGCUACUUCGCGAGCUCGCUCCGCCUCUGGACUCGAUCGAGAUUGGCGGACUCUUCGCACCUCCUCCUUGGGGAGAGAGGAACUAUCAAACACCGCUGGAGAAAUUGACGGAAGGUGGAGGAGCAGCCAUGGCCGCCGCGUGGGAACCCUUUCGUGAUAACGUAGACAUGGAUUACCAGGCCGAUGUGUUGAGAAAACUUGAGAAGACCGGGAAACGUAAAGAAGCUGCGGCUCUUUGCGCAUGGCGAGCAGUGGAUCACAAUGCUCGCGAUGCACUAAAGCGGCUCUCCGAUUCGCCACUGCUUCCUAUUCUUGAGAACCAAUUGCUCGAAUUUGUGAGCGGGAGAGACGACGAGCUCGUACUGGAGAUGCCGGCACCGCACCACCGACUGCUUGUGCAUGGUCUCAGUCAAUUUCAUGGCUUGGCUUCGCAGUCGGAGCCAGCACCGCCACCACCCCGUGUACACAUCACCAAGAGAACAAAUUGCCGAAGCGAGGCAGCAAAAGAUUCUGGCUUGAACCUGAUGAAGUUCCUCCAGGACUGCAGGCAGCCUCCUGUAUUACCCCCGACUUCCAGAUUAUGAAGACCCAAGAAAACUUGGGAUGUAUCCAUACCAUGGUAAUGUUCCUUUCCCCUUCUGUAUUAUAUAUGACAAUGCUACUUACAUAUCGCUCUCGCUUUCAAGCAAGGAAAAUAUAUUCUCGUCUUGCUGGGCGCCGAGAACGCUCGCUACGAGUUCCUCGGGCAUGUUGAACGACAGCGCUAGAGUCUCCAUGUCAAGCUUGUCAAGAACCGAGCUCCUACCUGCUGGCCGUGCCCGUGAUACUCGUCCGAGACUGUGAAUCCGAGGAACUUGAGAGGGGCAUCUCUGGAAGAAAGCUCGCAGUUUGGAAAGUAUCGAGGCACCACGAAGAUGGUUCCCUCCUCCAGCCUCCUGUUUAGAGCAUUGGUGCCAUUCGGGUGCGCGAUCUGGAUUCUUCCAGUGCCAUUCGUUACGACGCCGACGACCAUGGCCUGGGGAUUCCAGUGCGGUGCCAAAAGUGCUCCCUGGACGGUGAAGAGAACGAAGAAAAAUCAGAUCUUUCCAAAGCUCUAGAUUGGACGCUUACGUU